CCCGCAGCCCAGAGAGCAACAGACAAAGGGAAAGUCUAUUUCCCAAUUUUAAGAAGUUCUACCUUCCUAUUGGCUCUUUUGGUCAGGUGCCCACUCCUUUUCUUUUACCUGUGGGCUUGUUAACCC